GACGAACGCUGGCGGCGUGCUUAACACAUGCAAGUCGAACGAAGUGUCGCACGGGGGAGUAAUACGUGAGUAACCUGCCCUCCUUUUUGGGAUAAGCCUUGGAAACGGGGUCUAAUACCCAAUAAAGGGGGAUGGGCUCGCGGCCUAUCAGCUGGUUGGGGGGGUGACGGCCGACUAAGGCGGUGCCGGGUAGCCGGCCUGAGAGGGUGACCGGCGACAUGGGGACUGGGCUAACGCCCAGACGGCGCCGGGAGGGGGCAGUGUGGGAUAUUGCACAAUGGCCGAAAGCCUGACGCCGCGAGGGUGCGUGGGGGAUUAAGGUUUUAGGGCUGUAAUCAUCGGGCGGGAUCGACCGGGUAGCUGGAGAAGAAGCGCCGGCUAACUACGUGCCAGCAGCCGCGGUAAUUC
rnacentral:rRNA from 1 species